AAGGGAGACCUUUUGGAUGAUAUAACUUCAGCAAAUGGGAAAAUUUGUUAUUACAGGUAGUUGGUAAAACAAAACAGCUUUACAACAAAUAUCUAAAACAAAUAACUAUUUAGAACAAGUUUUCUAAUCAUUUCAGAGAACCCAAGGUGAGGAAUGCUGUCUUUCUCCCGAAAGAGUGGUGAUGGAAUCAACAGAAUGAGACACACAUUUUCACAUGUGGCCAAUAUAUCUUCUUCCUAAUGUCUCAAUGGACAUAGUAAAGUUUUGUCAUGUGGCAACAGUGGUAUAUGCAGAGCAUUUGUUUGCAUGUAGACUGCUGUGGCCACAAGCCAUGAUGGGGAACGAUACAAGGUGGAAAACAGAGUCACCAGGAACUGUGGAGAAUUUCAACAUGGUAGAAAAAAUAUGGGUCAACCAAGUGAAAAUGACAUGUGACAAACAACUCUGCUCCUUGCCUGGUUGCCCAGCUACUUCCUUCCUUCUUUUGACUGGAAUCCAAGACAUGUACUGGAAAAAGACAAUCUCCUGGGCUCUUCAUGGAGGAAGACAACUGGAAAACCCCUUUGAUAUCAUAUCACUGGGAAAAUUUCCAGGACAAAGGUAG
rnacentral:lncRNA from 1 species